GUAGUUUGUACCUACUUUGUAUGAUAUAUUAAUCCAAUUUUUUUCUUAUAUUUAUACUUUACAGUUCUUUGGUGGGAUACACAUGGAGGUGAUGCUUUUGAGCUUUCAAGGAUUGCACGGCGUUUACUGGGCCUUUGUUGCACCUCUUCUGGUUGUGAGCGCAACUAGAGCACAUUUGAUUUUAUUCACACCAAGAAGAGGAAUAGACUAGAACAUGAACGUUUGAAUGAUCUAGUCUAUGUUCAAUACAAUCGCCGCCUUCAAGAAAGAUUUCGACAAAGGAGUGAGGAGAAUAGAAAUUAUGAUCC